rnacentral:rRNA from 1 species
UGCAUCGAUGAAGAACGCAGCCAGGUGCGAUAAGUAGUGUGAAUUGCAGAAUUCAGUGAAUCAUCGAAUCUUUGAACGCAAAUGGCGCUCUUGGGUUUUCCCAGGAGCAUGUCUGUCUGAGUGUCG